CCGAAGGGCCAUAAGAAGAAAGUAAAUGAAGAUAUUCUAGAUUGGCUUCAAUCUAUGUUUGGUUUUCAGAAAGGUAAUGUUGCAAAUCAAAGAGAACAUCUUAUUGCUGGCAAAUGUGCAUAUUAGACAAUUUCCGAAACCUGAUCAUCAACAACCUAAGUUUGAUGACCGUGCACUUACCGAAGUCAUGAAGAAGCUAUUUAAAAACUACAAAAGAUGGUGCGAGUACCUUAACCGCAAGAGUAGUCUCUGGUGAGUUUAGUUUUCAUGUUUAUACGUAUUAGCAGGAAUGUUUUGGCCUGAUACUA